rnacentral:lncRNA from 1 species
CAGCUAGUACAGACAGCUUGUGUUUUAACGGCUACGAGGAGAUGGCAGGCCUAGCUUGAACAAAGCCAUAUGUCGUACUCACAAGGGAGAAGAAGUUCAGUUUGAGUCUGGAAGCCUCUGACAAUGUGGAGAAAAUUGACCUCCAGAGCUCUCCUCCUAGGAACUUUGGCAGUUUUGCAGCUCAGAACGACACCAACUUCACAUGAUGAGUGACAAAUACUGGGGCGAGCCGGCUCUGCCAGGGAAACUUCAAAAUGAGCCGAGCAAACACCGGGAGCUUUCUUCAAUCUGUCUCUCUUGGCCUAUUUCACUCAAACACAGUUGGAAGGACAGUGCAUUGACUGUGAUCAAGAGAAUUUCUCACAGCAUGAAAUCUGUAAGAAUGUAGCAGCAAGGUCCCAGCAGAGCAUCAACCAGACGCAGGAGUUUCACUGCGCGAUGUGCUGAUGAGAGCACAGAGCACGACUGCAUUCAACACUGAUGAAACAUAUGAUCUGAAGAAAUCUAGAUUUCAAACUGAAUCAGACUCCUUUGAAUUCUACAUUUUAGAAAAAUGACCUUCGUAGUAUUUGAACACCUUAUGUAAAAUUUCAUGGUUGGUGCCUGUAAGUAAUAUUUUGAAAUAUUUAACACACUUUUCGCUGUGAAUACCGAUAUUAGACUCUUA